AUUGAACGCUGGCGGCAGGCUUAACACAUGCAAGUCGAGCGAGGUGAUGGUGCUUGCACUAUCACUUAGCGGCGGACGGGUGAGUAAUGCUUAGGAAUCUGCCUAUUAGUGGGGGACAACAUCUCGAAAGGGAUGCUAAUACCGCAUACGUCCUACGGGAGAAAGCAGGGGAUCACUUGUGACCUUGCGCUAAUAGAUGAGCCUAAGUCGGAUUAGCUAGUUGGUGGGGUAAAGGCCUACCAAGGCGACGAUCUGUAGCGGGGCUGAGAGGAUGAUCCGCCACAAUGGGACUGAGACACGGCCCAGACUCCUACGGGAGGCAGCAGGGGGGAAUAUUGGACAAUGGGGGGAACCCUGAUCCAGCCAUGCCGCGUGGGUGAAGAAGGCCUUAUGGUUGUAAAGCACUUUAAGCGAGGAGGAGGCUCUUUUGGUUAAUACCCAAGAUGAGUGGACGUUACUCGCAGAAUAAGCACCGGCUAACUCUGUGCCAGCCGCCGCCGUAA
rnacentral:rRNA from 1 species